rnacentral:rRNA from 1 species
UACGGGGGGGAGCAAGCGUUGUUCGGAUUUACUGGGCGUAAAGGGCGCGUAGGCGGUCGUGACAAGUCACUUGUGAAAUCUCCGGGCUUAACUCGGAACGGUCAAGUGAUACUGUCGGGCUAGAGUACGGAAGAGGCAAGUGGAAUUCCUGGUGUAGCGGUGAAAUGCGCAGAUAUCAGGAGGAACACCGGUGGCGAAGGCGGGUCUCUGGGCCGAUACUGACGCUGGAGGAGCGAAAGCGUGGGGAGCGAACAGG